rnacentral:rRNA from 1 species
GAUGAACGCUGGCGGCGUGCCUAAUACAUGCAAGUCGAGCGAACAGACGAGGAGCUUGCUCCUCUGACGUUAGCGGCGGACGUGUGAGUAACACGUGGAUAACCUACCUAUAAGACUGGGAUAACUUCGUGAAACCGGAGCUAAUACCGGAUAAUAUAUUGAACCGCAUGGUUCAAUAGUGAAAGACGGUUUUGCUGUCACUUAUAGAUGGAUCCGCGCCGCAUUAGCUAGUUUGUAAGGUAACGGCUUACCAAGGCAACGAUGCGUAGCCGACCUGAGAGGGUGAUGGGCCACACGGGAAGUGAGCAACGGUACAGACUCCUACGGGAGGCAGCAGUAGGGAAUCUGCCGCAAUGGGCGAAAGCCUGACGGAGCAACGCCGCGUGAGUGAUGAAGGUCUUCGGAUCGUAAAACUCUGUUAUGAGGGAAGAACAAAUGUGGAAGUAACUAUGCACGUCUUGACGGUACCUAAUCAGAAAGCCACGGCUAACUACGUG